rnacentral:rRNA from 1 species
CACGUAGGGCGCAAGCGUUGUCCGGAAUUAUUGGGCGUAAAGAGCUCGUAGGCGGUCUGUUGCGUCCGCUGUGAAAACUCGGGGCUUAACCCCGAGCCUGCAGUGGAUACGGGCAGACUAGAGGUAGGUAGGGGAGAAUGGAAUUCCCGGUGUAGCGGUGAAAUGCGCAGAUAUCAGGAGGAACACCGGUGGCGAAGGCGGGUCUCUGGGCCGAUACUGACGCUGAGGAGCGAAAGCCAGGGGAGCGAACGGG